AGAGUUCUUUGAACAGUGACUUCAGAAAGGACUCUAAACUCAGGAGUUCAGAUGCCUGUUUACUCGUGUACAGACGCAGAGAGCAAACUCGAGACACUGGAGAAGAUCAGAGACGUGAAGAUCAGCGAUCACUGGAGGCCAGUGAAGUGACCAAAACAGAAGCUGCUGGAAAG